CUUCAACCACAUCAAUUAAUGAGGGAGAUGGGAGCUUCACCCCUCAGCUUGUGGAGAGAGAUGGAGGCGUCCUCCAAGAGAUGGAGCUUGCUCUCCUCCUGGCUGCAGUCAGGUGAGCAGAGCUGUGCUGUGGGAUUCCAGCUGCCUGCAGAGAUAAUCCCUGCCCCUCUAGCAGUGCCCAACCUGCUGUCAGGCAUGACCAUGCCUCUCCCUGACAUGCAAAUCCGCCUAUUUUUUUUUGCCCAUGGAAGCCGUGGCCAUAUGCCACCACUCCACAGCAUCGCUCUCCUUGUCGCAUUCACCCGCUGCACAUCGAACCCGACGUCGUUUGCUCUCUGAGCAUCCCUUGGCUGCUGUUAUUCAGUCCAGUGACAUGGAGGCUUUUUCCAGCCUGCUUACAGAUCACAGCGGAUUUGGCUGUACACAGGAGUAGGUCGGGGGAUCCCUGCGGCGUGCACGAGCUUCCAUUUAUCAACACGACGUUUCCCUUGCAGCGAGAUGGGUUUCUGUUAGCAGUGAGAUCCCUCUGCAGCUCCUCU
rnacentral:lncRNA from 1 species